rnacentral:rRNA from 1 species
GUGCCAGCAGCCGCGGUAAGACGUAGGGGGCGAGCGUUGUCCGGAUUCAUUGGGCGUAAAGAGCGCGCAGGCGGCUUGGUAAGUCGGAUGUGAAAAUCCGGGGCUCAACCCCGGACCUGCAUCCGAAACUGCCCGGCUAGAGGUAGGCAGGGGAGAUCGGAAUUCCUGGUGUAGCGGUGAAAUGCGCAGAUAUCAGGAGGAACACCGGUGGCGAAGGCGGAUCUCUGGGCCUUACCUGACGCUCAGGCGCGAAAGCUAGGGGAGCGAACAGGAUUAGAAACCCUUGUAGUCC